rnacentral:rRNA from 1 species
CACGUAGGGUGCGAGCGUUGUCCGGAAUUAUUGGGCGUAAAGAGCUCGUAGGCGGUGUGUCGCGUCGGCCGUGAAAACCUGCAGCUUAACUGUGGGCUUGCGGUCGAUACGGCAUCACUGGAGUUCGGCAGGGAGACUGGAAUUCCUGGUGUAGCGGUGAAAUGCGCAGAUAUCUGGAGGAACACCGGUGGCGAAGCGGCAUCCUGGACCACGACUGACGCUGAGUGAGC